AACGAACGCUGGCGGCAUGCCUAACACAUGCAAGUCGAACGAGACCUUCGGGUCUAGUGGCGCACGGGUGCGUAACGCGUGGGAACCUGCCCUUAGGUUCGGAAUAACUCCCCGAAAGGGGUGCUAAUACCGGAUAAUGUCUUCGGACCAAAGAUUUAUCGCCUUUGGAUGGGCCCGCGUUGGAUUAGCUAGUUGGUAGGGUAAAAGCCUACCAAGGCGACGAUCCAUAGCUGGUCUGAGAGGAUGAUCAGCCACACUGGGACUGAGACACGGCCCAGACUCCUACGGGAGGCAGCAGUGGGGAAUAUUGGACGAUGGGCGAAAGCCUGAUCCAGCAAUGCCGCGUGAGUGAUGAAGGCCUUAGGGUUGUAAAGCUCUUUUAGCCGGGAUGAUAAUGACAGUACCGGGAGAAUAAGCUCCGGCUAACUCCGUG
rnacentral:rRNA from 1 species